AACGAACGCUGGCGGCAUGCCUAACACAUGCCAGUCGAACGAGACCUUCGGGUCUAGUGGCGCACGGGUGCGUAACGCGUGGGAACCUGCCCUUAGGUUCGGAAUAACUCCCCGAAAGGGGUGCUAAUACCGGAUAAUGUCUUCGGACCAAAGAUUUAUCGCCUUUGGAUGGGCCCGCGUUGGAUUAGCUAGUUGGUAGGGUAAAAGCCUACCAAGGCGACGAUCCAUAGCUGGUCUGAGAGGAUGAUCAGCCACACUGGGACUGAGACACGGCCCAGACUCCUACGGGAGGCAGCAGUGGGGAAUAUUGGACAAUGGGCGAAAGCCUGAUCCAGCAAUGCCGCGUGAGUGAUGAAGGCCUUAGGGAUGUAAAGCUCUUUUACCCGGGAUGAUAAUGACAGUACCGGGAGAAUAAGCUCCGGCUAACUCCGUG
rnacentral:rRNA from 1 species